UACGGAGGGGGUUAGCGUUGUUCGGAAUGACUGGGCGUAAAGCGCGCGUAGGCGGGCUGGAAAGUUGGGGGUGAAAUCCCGGGGCUCAACCCCGGAAUGGCCUUCAAAACUCCCAGCCUAGAGUUCGAGAGAGGUGAGUGGAAUUCCGAGUGUAGAGGUGAAAUUCGUAGAUAUUAGGAAGAACACCGGUGGCGAAGGCGGCUUCCUGGACCGACACUGACGCUGAGGCGCGAAAGCCA
rnacentral:rRNA from 1 species